GGAGAGCUCCCGCACACCUACGGGGACACGCCAGUCCUCACCCGGCCGUCCGCACCGAUCUCCCUCCCACCCAAAGCAGAGAGAAGACACGGGGUCAGGUCAGGAGAGACUGACUUGGAAGAGUGAGAAGGAUCCGGAGCAGAAGCCGGGAGCUGCCAGAUUGCAGGUAAGGCCACCAGCAACCAGAGGAGCUGUUGCAGCCUUGCACACACAAAUUUCGGCUGUUGGACAACCAUCUGCUGCGCAUGCUUUUUGUUGAUAGUGAUUUUCACCAACUACUCCAGCAGAUUUUCUAAAUCAAUUGACUUCUGCAGCAGGAUGAACUUUUGCCCUUGCUCCUGCACCUAGUCCUUUUAGCCUUCCUUUGCAGUCAUCUGUUCAGACCCUCCCAGACCUAUUUGUAACAUGGUCCUUAACUGUUUUGACGUUGGGAAGGAGUAUCGGGUUGGGCAUUGUGUUAUGCAGAGGACAGACUGCUUCUGGACUUAAAAUAUAAACAUCACGUAAGCCGGAACAGACAGAAGGAUGGUGCAGAGCUUGUGAAAGAAAAAGAAGCAGUAAAUUUGUGACUUCCACUGUCAAGGUCUUUCUACUAUGCUGCAUUUUCCAACAUGCCAUUGUUCCAAAAAAACCCCAACAACUAAUUGGAAUUCAGCUGGUGAUGGUUAGAGGCUGGAGCACGUGAUGUAGGAAAGGAGGUUGAAAGAACUGGCUUCUAAAGGGAAUCUUACUGCUAUUUUCAACCACCUGAUGAGGGUGGGUAGAAUAAAAGGAACCAGGCUUUUCUUGGAAAUCAACAAUGAGAGAGAUAGUUGAGAGAGACAACGAUAGAGAGACAACAGGCACAAGUUACAACAGGGGAAAUUCUGAGUAUAUAUUUGAAAGAACAACAACAGAAUGAAUGCAAUCCAACACUGGAGCAAGUUUCCCAGAAAGGCUGGAAAUUUUGCCCUGAACAAUCUGCUCUAAGCUGCUUGUAUAAUACUUUAAGAAAAGGUGACCUCCAGAGGUGAAAAACCAAAUGCAGAAAUAUUUUUAUUAUAUGUAAUAGAUGACAGUUCCACAAAAUUGCCCUGAUUUGAAGGAGAUCUCUCUCAGCACCAUAAAAGUAUUGCAUUGGAUAGAACAUUAUUGAAACUUAAGAGUUUAAUGGUUUUGUUUCAUCAGGAAUAUUAUUGGGAGUGCUAUCACAGGAGACAGUUGAGUAAAUAACAGUCUCCAAAUCCCACACAAAUCACCCAUUUCCACUCAGGUCACAAAUAGGAGGACAUUGCUCACUAUAUUCUUAAAUAGGUACAUAUAUGCAUAUGUAUGCGUGCGCGUGUGUGUGUACAGAAAGAGAGAGAAGGAGAGGGAACAGAAGAACAGAACAAAUGGGCAAGCAAGUGGCAAAAUUACAAAGGUGAAAAAAGUAUCAUUGCAGCACUGUAAGUGUACUUGAAAAGAGAGCUAUCAAGUCAGGACAUUAGCUGAAAAAGCCUUGGGUCUGUGAACAGGUAAACAUUCUGGUGAUUUAAUUAUUCUCAUACUCCAGAUAAUAUGAUGAUUGCAUUCAUAUUAAUAGGUUAUUGUGACAAAUGCUUGAUUUUGUCAAUACAGCAUCCUCUGAAUUAGAACUACCAGCUAUAUCUCUAUGGGUAGUUAGGGAGGAAAGAAUUAUGUGCAUUUAUUAGAACUGAGAAGAAAUAUCUCCAUACCUAAAUUGUGCAACCGGCUGUUUCCUCUGAUCCAGCUUGGACAAGUGAAUCCUGCCAUUUUUAUUCAAACUCUAUGUUUAAGAUUCUCGCAGUACUUAUCUGGAAAGUGUUUCUUUUAACGACACUCACAAAAGCAGUUGUGAGGCAAUGGCCUAGAUUAUGCAUCUGCAUUGGCAGACAGCUAUGGGCUGCUGAAUUCCAGCUGCAGAAGGAAAAAUGUAAGUUGCCAAAAAUAUUAAUCUGUCUUUAUGGCCAAAAUAAUCAUUAGAUUCAUUUUAGAUGAAUGCUUGCUUUCCUACUCUCUCUGCUUCUUAAGCUGAGAGGGAAAGACAGCAUGAGAGUGACUGAAUAAAAGAAUAAUAUUCUUCUUUUUGUUCUUUAUGACUCACAGUACAAAUCAGCCAAGUCUGGCAACUAUUAUUCUAUUAUUCUCCUAAAUAAUGAUAUUUUGGUCCUGUAAACUGAUGGGUUUUGGCCUUAAUUAAGCGUUUGUUUAAUUUCAAAUAUGUUAGAAGUCUCACAAGCAAAAAAAAGCAAAAAAAAAGCCCAACAGCCCAACUAGGGCUUUCUGCAGACUUUUAUAGGUUUUCUUCCUCAGCUCAAAACCAUUCCUAAAUUUAGCACAACCUUUGCAACAAGGGACCCAUCUGAAUUAUAAGAUGACUGAUAUCCGUAUACCUUGUUCUUUUAAGUGGUGAAAUCUUCUGCUCUCCAAGUUUUCCAUUUCAAAGCAGAAUUAGUAGUCAGAUCCUCUACUCCUGAAGGAUUCUACCUGAUGAUUAAGGGAAGCAGGAUUUCACCCCUGUCAUACAAAAGAGCUCCUACAUAAAUUUAGUGGCUGCUAUAUUGCGCUUCAAAUGUAAAAAAUGUUUCAGCAGUACAUGUGCAUAAAAGAUAUUUCUCUUCGACAACAUUACUCUUAUGUCCAUAACCAUCCAUCCUCUGCAAGACUACAAGUCUUUUCUAGAUGUUGUGACACUUUCAAUUUUAAAAUAAAAUAAAAUAUAAAAUUUAGACAAUGAGUCAUAUCUAAGCAGCUGUCAGGAGAACGGAGUAGUUCUCAUCUAGGCUCCCUCUCCCACAGAAAACUGGACCAGAUGGUCUUUUGAGGUCCCUUCCAACCUCGAUUAUUCUGUGAUUCUAUGAUUCGGUGACUUUCAGUCAUUCCUUAAAAGCCACAGGGAUGCUCUUUUCACACUGAAGUCAAAUGCAAAAUUCCUAUUCACUUCAAAAGAAAUAGGGCAAGGUCUGGAAGUUAUAAAAAUACAUUUCCAGACAGAAUAGAAUGUAAAUUUAGGUAAUGAUUUGGAAUAUCUCCAAUCACAACUUAAGUCUUGAAACCAUCUGAUUCCCUCUGAAAGUCAUCAUAGCUGAACAUUAAAAUUCUUGUUGCAGUAUAGCAAGUUGACAUCAUACAAGCAUAAAUAAUGACAUGUACAAAGGAAACAAAACACCUUCUGGUUUUAAUUCUAGAACAGGAGAAAAGAAAUUAGGAGGACAAUCAGCUUUGUCUAAGUGAAUUGUGAAUUAAAGUUUGUUUUGAUAUGCUUACUUCAUUUUUUAGUUGCAAUUGAUCCUUUCAUCCAAAAGAAAAAUUGAUCACACUGUUUUAGAAGAGUAUGCAAAAGUUAUUCAAAUACAGGUUGAUGUUAGCAAUUAAAAAUGUGUUUCAAAAUUAAGAAUAUAGCAACCCUGAAUCCAGAUAAUCUCUUUUUUUCCUUUUUUCUUUCCAGUUUCAUGGCAGAAAAAGAAAGCAGCAGUUGAGAGGAAUAGAUAUAAAUGAAUUAUCCUACCUCUCCUUACAAGUGAAAGUAAAUGUCGUAGCAUCAACCUGAAUUUAUCAGGAGUAUAAAAUUUACAAUACUGAAAGAGACAAUUUGUCCCUCAAGUCCUAUAAAGUAUAUCUGGCUGAGCCCAGUAACUGAAAUAUUACAGAAAGAGGAAAGUAGAGAAUUGCAUAUUCAAAUAGGAAAUGUUUUUCUUAAAGCUGCCUAUGAAGGUUUUAUUUAAAAAAUAAAAUAUACAUAUAUAUAUAUAUAUACAUAUAUACAUAUAUUAAUUCUGGUGCUUGGAGAUUGCCACUUAAUAUACUACAAUAACCAGGUGCUGGAAAAGCCCAGCUGCCUUCACAAGCAGCAGCCAUAGCAACCAAUCUCUUCCUGGGUUGGGGGCCAAUUCCAUGAUUUUUACAUAAUUCUGUGGGUUUUUUUCCGGUAUCAUAAAGGCAGUUGAGUCAUUCAGCAAAAUCUUGAACUUCAGGAAUAUACAUUUGGCUAUGUUAAGGCAGUUGAUAAAUAAAAGGAAAUUCUGUAUCUUCAUCAUGACUAAAGCUGCAAUAACUAUGUAUGAGGAAACCGUAUUGUCAUUAUUCUUUUCUCAUUGCAAGGAUAUGACCUUAUAAUAUAAUUUAGCAAUUAUAGUCUUCUGGUGUGUUUCUAGAUCCAGUCUUGCCAAUGUUUGAAGAUGCGAUCUGCUUAAGACUGUUAUCAAGGCUGCAUAGAAUAUAUCAGUAAAGACUAUAAAUGACAAGUUUGGUUCAGUAAUCUGUGCAAUUAAUGUCCAUUUCAGUGAAAAUGAAGUGUUCAAUCAAAGGCUGAUUUUGAUUCCUAAGUAUUUUACAUAGUAGAUAUCCAAGGUGAUGUUCAGGACAAUAGUAUCAUUGCUUUGUUAACUAAUACUAGUCAAAGAACAUGUCAUGACAAUUCUUCACUUAAUAUUACAUUACUAAGUUAAUAGCUGUUGGGAGAACCCUCUAAAAAUAAA